GAGGAUAUAGCUCAACUAGUAGAGAGCAUGCUUAGCAUGCACGAGGUCCUGAGUUCAAUCCCCAGUACCCCCU
rnacentral:tRNA from 1 species